GAUCAUGGCUCAGAACGAACGCUGGUGGCGUGUCUUAUACAUGCAAGUCGAGCGAGGCAGCAAUGCCGAGCGGCGAACGGGUGAGUAACGCGUAAGCAAUCUGCCCCAUAUCAGGAAAUACCCGUGCCAACGCGCGGUUAAUGUCCAGGAGAGUGGCCCUCUGCAUGGAGGGUUGACUAGAGAUUUAUCGGUAUGGGAUGAGCUUGCGUCCGAUUAGCUAGUUGGCGGGGCAACGGCCCACCAAGGCGACGAUCGGUAGCCGGCCUGAGAGGUGAUCGGCCACAUUGGGACUGAGAUACGGCCCAGACUCCUACGGGAGGCAGCAGUAGGGAAUAUUGCACAAUGGGGGAAACCCUGAUGCAGCAACGCCACGUGUGGGAAGAAGCAUUUCGGUGUGUAAACCACUGUCAUGAGGGAAUAAGGCCCGCCUUCGGGCGGGAUUGAAUGUACCUUGAGAGGAAGCACCGGCAAACUUCGUGCCAGCCGCUGC
rnacentral:rRNA from 1 species